AGCCAACACGAAGGCUCUGUCAGGGAGGAACACAGUCCAGGUCUGGCUGCCACUGGACGCUGAGGGACUGGGUCCUGUAUAACAGCCUCUCAAACACUUCACAGGUACAUUGUUUAAGGAGGAAAGCCUAAUUUCUGGUAGGUGCCUCGCUGACUGAUUGUGACGUUCUUCUGUGAUUCAACGGGGGAAUCCUGGUCCAAUCUGAAGAUUGAUUUGUUCCAGUUUGGCCUUCACUCUUCAGCAACUGUUGAACUGUUCCUCUCUCAGAUGUACGGUGGAGAGCAUUCUGACUGGUUGCAUCACCGCCUGGUACGGAGACUCCAGUGUGCAGGUUCGCAAGAGGCUGCAGAGGGUUGUAGACUCAGCCAGCUCCAUCACGGGCACAACCCUCCCUGCCAUCGAGGACAUCUUCGAGAGGCAGUGCCUCAGGAAGGCAACAUCCAUCAUUAAGGACCCUCACCAUCCAGGACAUGCCCUCUUCUCGUUACUAGCAUCGAGGUGGUGGUACAGGAGCCUGAAGACCCACACUCAACGAUUCAGAAACAGCUUCUUCCCCU